rnacentral:rRNA from 1 species
GACGUAGGGCGCGAGCGUUGUCCGGAAUUAUUGGGCGUAAAGCGCGCGCAGGCGGUCCUUUAAGUCUGAUGUGAAAUCCCGUGACUUAACCACGGGCGGUCAUUGGAAACUGGGGACUUGAGUGCAGAAGAGAAGAGCGGAAUUCACGUGUAGCGGUGAAAUGCGUAGAGAUGUGGAGGAACACCAGUGGCGAAGGCGGCUCUUUGGUCUGUAACUGACGUGAGGCGCGAAAGCGUGGGGAGCAAACAGG